rnacentral:rRNA from 1 species
UACGGGGGGAGCAAGCGUUGUUCGGAUUUACUGGGCGUAAAGGGCGCGUAGGCGGUCAGCACAAGUCAGUUGUGAAAUCUCCGAGCUUAACUCGGAACUGUCAGCUGAUACUGAUGUGCUAGAGUGCAGAAGGGGCAAUCGGAAUUCUUGGUGUAGCGGUGAAAUGCGUAGAUAUCAAGAGGAACACCUGAGGUGAAGACGGGUUGCUGGGCUGACACUGACGCUGAUAGCGCGAAAGCCAGGGGAGCAAACGGG